CAAAACAUGUCUGUAUGAGGUAAAAUAUAGAGUCUAGCCUGCCCACUGAAAUACAUAAUUUUGAAGGGCCGCGGUAUCUUGACCGUGCGAAGGUAGCAUAAUCAUUAGUCUUUUAAUUGAAGGCUGGAAUGAAUGGUUGGACAAAAAAUAAGCUGUCUCAAUCAUAAUCAUUGAACUUAACUUUUAAGUGAAAAGGCUUAAAUAAACCAAGGGGACGAUAAGACCCUAUAAAGCUUUACGGUAUAUUUAUUAAGCUAUAAACUGUAAGUAUAAAUUAGUUUAGUAAAUGUUCGUUUCGUUGGGGCGACGAGAAUAUAAUUAGUAACUGUUCUUUCUUAUAAUUACAAAUAUAAUUGGAAUGAAAAAUGAUCCUUUAUUAAAGAUCAAAAGUUUAAGUUACUUUAGGGAUAACAGCGUAAUCUUUUUUGAGAGUCCAUAUCGACAAAAAGGGUUGCGACCUCGAUGUUGAAUUAAGGUAUCCUUAUAGUGCAGCAGCUAUAAAGGAAGGUCUGUUCGACCUUUAAUUCCUUACAUGAUUUGAGUUCAGACCGGCGUAAGCCAGGGGGGUUUCUAUUCUAAA
rnacentral:rRNA from 1 species